rnacentral:rRNA from 1 species
CCUACGGGCGGCUGCAGUGGGGAAUAUUGCACAAUGGGCGCAAGCCUGAUGCAGCCAUGCCGCGUGUGUGAAGAAGGCCUUCGGGUUGUAAAGCACUUUCAGCGGGGAGGAAGGCGGUGAGGUUAAUAACCUCAUCGAUUGACGUUACCCGCAGAAGAAGCACCGGCUAACUCCGUGCCAGCAGCCGCGGUAAUACGGAGGGUGCAAGCGUUAAUCGGAAUUACUGGGCGUAAAGCGCACGCAGGCGGUCUGUCAAGUCGGAUGUGAAAUCCUCGGGCUCAACCUGGGAACUGCAUUCGAAACUGGCAGGCUAGAGUCUUGUAGAGGGGGGUAGAAUUCCAGGUGUAGCGGUGAAAUGCGUAGAGAUCUGGAGGAAUACCGGUGGCGAAGGCGGCCCCCUGGACAAAGACUGACGCUCAGGUGCGAAAGCGUGGGGAGCAAACAGGAUUAGAUACCCUUGUAGUC